UGAAGGAAGUAAAAGGAAAACAAGAAAGGAGAAAGGAAAGCAAAUGAAUGACAAGAAAAAUUAAAAGGUAAGGCAAGGUAAGUUAAUGAAAGAAAAGGGAAGCAAAGGGAGGGAUGGCAAAAGAAGGAAAAUAAAAAGACAAAAGGAAAGACAGGAAGAAACAAGAAAGGAUGGAAGGUUGGAAGGAAGGAAAAGGAAGAAAAGAAAGGAAAAAAGAAAGUAAAGAAAUGACAAGAAAAUUACAAGGUAAGGGAAGGUAAGUCAAUGAAAGAAAAGGGAAGCAAAUGGAGGGAUGGGAAAAGAAGGAAAAUAAAGAAAAAGACAAAAGGAAAGACAAAGGAAGAAAGAAGAAAGGAUGGAAGGUUGGAAGGAAGAAAAAGGAUGAAAAGAAUGGAAAAACAAAAGCAAAGGAAUGAAAAGAAAAAAGCAAACUAAGGUAAGGCAAGGUAAGUCAAAGAAAGGGAAGGGAAGACAAAGGAAGCAGAGGGAAAGGAUAGGAAGGAAAGGGAAAGGAAGAUAAAAGACAG